rnacentral:rRNA from 1 species
CGCUUAACUGGUCUGAGAGGAUGAUCAGUCACACUGGAACUGAGACACGGUCCAGACUCCUACGGGAGGCAGCAGUAGGGAAUAUUGCGCAAUGGGGGAAACCCUGACGCAGCAACGCCGCGUGGAGGAUGACACUUUUCGGAGCGUAAACUCCUUUUCUUAGGGAAGAAUUCUGACGGUACCUAAGGAAUAAGCACCGGCUAACUCCGUGCCAGCAGCCGCGGUAAUACGGAGGGUGCAAGCGUUACUCGGAAUCACUGGGCGUAAAGGGCGCGUAGGCGGAUUAUCAAGUCUCUUGUGAAAUCUAAUGGCUUAACCAUUAAACUGCUUGGGAAACUGAUAGUCUAGAGUGAGGGAGAGGCAGAUGGAAUUGGUGGUGUAGGGGUAAAAUCCGUAGAUAUCACCAAGAAUACCCAUUGCGAAGGCGAUCUGCUGGAACUCAACUGACGCUAAGGCGCGAAAGCGUGGGGAGCAAACAGGAUUAGAUACCCUGGUAGUCCACGCCCUAAACGAUGUACACUAGUUGUUGGGGUGCUAGUCAUCUCAGUAAUGCAGCUAACGCAUUAAGUGUACCGCCUGGGGAGUACGGUCGCAAGAUUAAAACUCAAAGGAAUAGACGGGGACCCGCACAAGCGGUGGAGCAUGUGGUUUAAUUCGAAGAUACGCGAAGAACCUUACCUGGGCUUGAUAUCCUAAGAACCUUUUAGAGAUAAGAGGGUGCUAGCUUGCUAGAACUUAGAGACAGGUGCUGCACGGCUGUCGUCAGCUCGUGUCGUGAGAUGUUGGGUUAAGUCCCGCAACGAGCGCAACCCACGUAUUUAGUUGCUAACGGUUCGGCCGAGCACUCUAAAUAGACUGCCUUCGUAAGGAGGAGGAAGGUGUGGACGACGUCAAGUCAUCAUGGCCCUUAUGCCCAGGGCGACACACGUGCUACAAUGGCAUAUACAAUGAGACGCAAUACCGCGAGGUGGAGCAAAUCUAUAAAAUAUGUCCCAGUUCGGAUUGUUCUCUGCAACUCGAGAGCAUGAAGCCGGAAUCGCUAGUAAUCGUAGAUCAGCCAUGCUACGGUGAAUACGUUCCCGGGUCUUGUACUCACCGCCCGUCACACCAUGGGAGUUGAUUUCACUCGAAGCCGGAAUACUAAACUAGUUACCGUCCACAGUGGAAUCAGCGACUGGGGUGAAGUCGUAACAAGGUAACCGUAGGAGAACCUGCGGUUGGAUCACCUCCUUU